UACGGAGGGUGCAAACGUUGCUCGGAAUUAUUGGGCGUAAAGCGCACGUAGGCGGACCAUCAAGUCGGUUGUGAAAUCCCUCGGCUUAACCGAGGACGUGCAUUCGAAACUGAUGGCCUUGAGUACGAAAGAGGAUCGCGGAAUUCCCGGUGUAGAGGUGAAAUGCGUAGAUAUCUGGAGGAACACCGGUGGCGAAGGCGGCAUCCUGGACCGGCAUUGACGCUGAGGCGCGAAAGCCAGGGGAGCAAACGGG
rnacentral:rRNA from 1 species